rnacentral:piRNA from 1 species
UGUAUAACAAGUGUGGCACCUCUUUC